GAGGUGGGAGGAUCACUUGGGCCUGGGAGGUUGAGGCUGUAAUGAGCUGUGAUCACACCACUGCACUCCAGCCUGAGUGACAGAGCAAGACCCUAUCUCA
ensembl:miRNA